UACAGAGGCCCCAAGCGUUACUGAGAAUCACUGGGUUUAAAGGGUGCGUAGGUGGUCCGUUAAGUUCGUUGUGAAAGCCCUGGGCUCAACCCAGGAACUGCUUCGAAUACUGGCGGACUUGAGGCUAGUAGGGGUUACUGGAACUGACGGUGGAGCGGUGAAAUGCGUAGAUAUCGUCAGGAACGCCAAUGGUGAAGACAGGUAACUGGGCUAGUUCUGACACUGAGGAGCGAAAGCGUGGGGAGCGAUCCGG
rnacentral:rRNA from 1 species